CGAGGCGCAACGCUGAGAACGCAAAUACUAAAGGGCGCUGUUCUUUCCUCGUGGAGCUCACAGUCCGCUGGGGAGACCGUGAGAUGACAGCAGAGAAACUAGCGCGAUCAGUAGUACUCAGCGCAAGGACAGCGAGCAGAGAAGGCAAACCUAGUGCUUGCUAAGGAAGACUUCACAGAGGAGGUAGUGUCAGGGCCGAGACUAGGAGAAGGAUUGUAAGUGACUAGAUUUUACUUUAUCCUUCUCGUUAACCAAAAUUAAUUUACCUCUCACCUUUUCUCCUGUUGUCGUCCCACCCCUAUCGAGGCAGUCACACCUUAAAAAAAAAAGGAGGGGUUAUUCCUGCUUUUGCCGUGCUGUGAUCCAGGGCAGAGCUCCAGGCUUCAUACGGUAAAACUCUCUGGGAAGGAAAGGAACUCAGAGUCCCAUGCAGAAAAUUGUUCAGCUGGAGGGGUAUCAGAAAGAUGGAUUUCCAAAGCCAACUGUUUCCUGUAGUGUGUGGAUCUCUGCAAGCAGAGCCUCAUCUUUCAAUUUCAGCUACAUGAAAGAGGAAGAAAGGGAAAGAUAUAUGUCAUACGUGAUAUACUUUAUGUGGCUUUGAAGACCCCUCUUUUGUGGGGCUACGGCUAAAGAACAUAGUUCCCUGGGAUGGAAUUGGCUCUUCCUAUUUCCCUACUUCAUGAAAACUCCAGUAGAAGACCUUAGAACCUUGUCCUGGUUACAUGGAUAUGUUUACUUUGUGAAAAUUCAUCAAGCACUAUGC
rnacentral:lncRNA from 10 species